rnacentral:rRNA from 1 species
UAGGGAAUAUUGGUCAAUGGGCGAAAGCCUGAACCAGCAACGCCGCGUGUGUGAUGAAGGCCUUCGGGUCGUAAAGCACUUUUCUGGGAGAUGAGAAAGGACAGUAUCCCAGGAAUAAGUCUCGGCUAACUACGUGCCAGCAGCCGCGGUAAAACGUAGGAGGCGAGCGUUAUCCGGAUUCACUGGGCGUAAAGCGCGUGCAGGUGGCGCGGUAAGUUGGGCGUGAAAUCUCCCGGCUCAACUGGGAGAGGUCGUCCAAUACUACCGUGCUUGAGAGCAGAAGAGGAAGAUGGAAUUCCCGGUGUAGUGGUGAAAUGCGUAGAUAUCGGGAGGAACACCAGUGGCGAAGGCGAUCUUCUGGUCUGUUUCUGACACUCAGACGCGACAGCUAGGGUAGUAAACGGGAUUAGAGACCCCGGUAAUCCUAGCCGUAAACGAUGUGAACUUGGCGUUGGUGGGUUAAACUCCAUCAGUGCCGUAGCAAACGCGAUAAGUUCACCGCCUGGGGACUACGGCCGCAAGGUUAA